rnacentral:lncRNA from 1 species
UGCCAGUGCCUCGCCUUUCGCAGUUGCCACUUGCCACUCGCCCCUGGCACUGGUCUCCCUCCUGCUGUCACUCCCUUCUAACUCAUCGCUCCCUUCUUCGUGUCCCCUUACACGCUACUCUGUGGCAGCGUUGGCCUUUCCACGUUACUGCUGGUUCUUGUGAUCCUAUGGUUUGCCCUAGGUCUCCUUUCUCUGGUCCCUGGGCUCCAGGGCCCUCCGCCUCCGAGCUCGGUCAGCACCCUGGGGUUGUUGCUCGGCCCGACCGGUUUGUUUCCCACCCUCUACUUUGACUGCUUCAUGAAGUGGACUUUUUUAUCUCAA